UAGACUCUGCUGAGGGUCGAGCCGUUGCUCCCCGUCCGGUGCCCCGGCGCCAGGACCGGGUCUACAGACUGUUGAGGGGGCAAAGUAGGAGCCUGAGGAGAGGAGGCCAGGCGACCCUGCCUCCCUCCGGGGCCAGCGCUUCCGAAUUCUGCUCGGCGUCCGGGCGUCCGCGCCCUCCUGGGGCCUCGGCCUUCUGAGGCGAAGGGGCCAGGGGAGGCCCGGGUUAGCGAGGCCAUGUCCGGCUCUGGCCUGCCCGGCCCCGCUCGUUCCACGUCAGCGUUUUGUCACUCCCGGCCGAAGGCCUGCGCGCCGCCGACAAGUACUCCCGAGGCGCGGGCCGAUGUAGGUUGGUGCAGGACUUCUGGGGGCCACAAGUGCUCCUUUUCCUGGAGAUGUGACCCAAGGUGAGCUGUUACAGCCUCUUCCUGGCAGCCUGUGCUCCCACCCCGGAAUCCUGCGCUUCUUCUCCGUCCUGCCUCUCCAGUUUGCUUCUACUCCACUGGCUGCAGGGGACUUCCCUGGUGGCGCAGUGGUUAAGAAUCGCCUGCCAAUGCAGAGGACACGGGUUCGAGUCCUGGUCUGGGAAGAUCCCACAUGCCGCGGAGCAACUAAGCCCAUGUGCCACAACUACUGAGCCCGCAAGCCACAACUGCUGAAGCCCGCACACCUAGCGCCCGUGCUCCGCAACAAGAGAAGCCACCGCAAUGAGAAGCCCGUGCACCACAACGAAGAGUAGCCCCCGAUCUCUGCAACUAGAGAAAGCCCGCGCACAGCAAUGAAGACCCAAUGCAGGCAAAAAUAAAUAAAUAAAUAAAUAUAAAUUUAUAAAAACAGCAACAACAAACCAACCAAACAAAAAACCUUCCGUGAUCCUGCUGCUGCCUCUAGAUAUUGGCUUUGCCACCAAACUCCGGAGGGAAUAGAUUUACCCUUCCGACUUUCUUCUCACCAUCUCCAUCUUUAAUCUCACAAUUCGGCGUCUCUCAACUGCUCUCACCAAGGUGGCCUGUGACUCCCUGAUUACCAGAGAGGUGGUAAUCAGGGAGGAGACCCCCACCCCAGUCUCCUCUCUGCUCUCCUGGGACACCUGACACUGCGGGUCAGCUGCCUCCUUGAGACUCUCUUCUCUUGGCUUUUCACGCACUAUUGUCUUGACACUCUUUAAAUCUGUUUAAAUCAAAUUAUCGAGUACAUUGUCCUGUGCCCAGCAUUGUGCUAAAAUGCUGCAGGGAUGCAAAGAUGAAUACAUGGCGGAGGCUGCCCUCACGAUGCUACCUGCUUAAAAGGGAGGCAGACACAGCAGCCCUUGUCCUGCCCAUCCUCCAAGAACGGCGUCAGGUCCCACGCGGAAGCACUUACUGUGUCCUAGGCGCUGGGAGUACAGCGUGGUCUUCAGAUGCCACUUCCUGCCCUAUGGGGCCCACGGCCCAGCAGACCAGCAGGGCCCUCGCCCAACUGGAUGUGAUCACUCCCUCCUUCUUGACUUAAAUAGUAUUUUGCCUGCGUCUUUCUGCACUUAAUCAAAUUCUGCUUUGGAUUCUAGCAUUUGGCAGGGGGUGGAG